GAUAAACGCUGGCGGCGUGCCUAACACAUGCAAGUCGAACGAUCCCGCAAGGGAGAGUGGCGGAAGGGUGAGUAACACGUGGAAUCUACCUCCUCGCAGGGAACAACCUCUCGAAAGAGAGGCUAAUACCCAAAGGGUCAGAAAUGAUCAGAGUCGAAAGGCGUGAGGAGAGGAGCCCGCGGCCCAUCAGCUAGUUGGUGAGGUAAUGGCUUACCAAGGCUACGACGGGUAGGGGAUCUGAGAGGAUGUCCCCCACACUGGAACUGAAACACGGUCCAGACGCCUACGGGUGGCAGCAGUGAGGAAUAUUGGACAAUGGGCGAAAGCCCGAUCCAGCAACGCCGCAUGGAGGAUGAAGGCCUUC
rnacentral:rRNA from 1 species